GACGAACGCUGGCGGCGUGCUUAACACAUGCAAGUCGAACGGAAAGGCCUCAGCUUGCUGGGGUACUCGAGUGGCGAACGGGUGAGUAACACGUGGGUGAUCUGCCUUGCACUCUGGGAUAAGCUUGGGAAACUGGGUCUAAUACCGGAUAUGAACUGCCUUUAGUGUGGUGGUUGGAAAGUUUUUUCGGUGCAAGAUGAGCUCGCGGCCUAUCAGCUUGUUGGUGGGGUAAUGGCCUACCAAGGCGUCGACGGGUAGCCGGCCUGAGAGGGUGUACGGCCACAUUGGGACUGAGAUACGGCCCAGACUCCUACGGGAGGCAGCAGUGGGGAAUAUUGCACAAUGGGCGGAAGCCUGAUGCAGCGACGCCGCGUGGGGGAUGACGGCCUUCGGGUUGUAAACUCCUUUCGACAGGGACGAAGCUUUUUGUGACGGUACCUGUAUGAGAAGCACCGGCUAACUACGUG
rnacentral:rRNA from 1 species